UUGUUGAUUGUUUUCUGUUUACUCGCAGGAGAGAAGCCAUUUUUCAAGUAUUUACAAUGGAUCUGUAUUAUACCAUCGUUUCGCCACCGUCGCAGUCCGUAGUACUGCUAGCGAAGUACCUGCGAGUUCCUUUGAACCUUAAGAGUUUGAACUUACGAGCAGGUGAACACAUGUCGGAGGCGUUUCUAAAGAUUAAUCCGCAGCACUGCGUACCAACACUGACAACUGAGGAUGGCGUCUCUAUCUGGGAGUCUAACGCGAUAAUGCUCUAUUUGGUAGAGCGCUUCGACAAAACCGGAAAGAUCUACCCGAAGGACCCGGCCAAACGUGCAGUUGUCUUCCAGCGAAUGUGCUUCGAUUUGGGCACACUGUACAAGCAAAUCCGAGCCUACUACACACCUUUAUUAACGCAAGGUGCCCAGCCAGAUGUAAACGUGCUUAAAGAGCUUGAACAGGCGUUCAAGUACCUGGAACUAUUCUUAGCAGGAAGCAAGUAUUCGACAGGUGAUGAAUUGACCUUGGCUGAUUUUGCUUUAGUUACAUCCGUAACAAGUGCCAUUACAAUGAACUUCGAUGUCGCCAAGUAUCCUUACGUGGACCGUUGGGUGAAGCUAUGUAAAAGCGCGAUGCCCGGAUUCGAAGAAGUUUCGAAAGAGGCGGAAGCCGCUAUGAAGGCAAUCAAGGAAACAAUGAACAAGUAAUCAUUUUCAUAACAAGUGCGGUUUAUGGUGAAACAAACAAAAUUUAUAAUUUGAACAGAGUUUUUUUCUCAUUCAGCUGAUUCCCACUUCCAAAACUAACUUAACCAAAAUCAACUAAAACAAUUAUAAUCAGCUCACCAAGCACUGUUUUGAGUUCGCUUGGCAGCGGAGCUAGAGAGAAAUGCGAGCUGCAGCAAAAUUGGCACAAUUGAUCGGGGAGUAAGCUACCGCACGUCGCUAGCGGCCACUCGAAUUACGCCGAUUCUUGAGAAUCACGUUCAUGAAAUAUGGUUUCCCGUGCUGAAACAAAUUUUAUUUUAUUACCUGCUAGUGCUAGUUUUAACUGCAAGCUAGAAACCAUUUUCGUUGCGAGUUACCUUGGAAAUGGGGUUGCAACUUUCGACACUCUGGGAGAGUUUCUAGCAGUGAUCAAAUUUUUAACCCUAUUUUAACAUAUGAGCUUUACCUCUUCAUUCGAGUGGAAUCGCUCGCCAGAAAAUCACAUUUUUAACAGGUAGGCAUAACGGAACACAGUCGCUCGGAACUAAACCUGGCGAAUUUUAAGAGUGGGGAACCAGUUCGUAGUGCA